rnacentral:rRNA from 1 species
AGCUCCAAUAGCGUAUAUUAAAGUUGUUGCAGUUAAAAAGCUCGUAGUUGGAUUUCUGGGGGCCGCGUCCGGUCCGCCCGGCAACGGGUGCGCACUGGUGGCGUCGGCGCCCAUCCUCGGGCAGAGCGGCCUCGGCAUUAAGUUGUCGGGGUCGGGACGCCCGUCGUUUACUGUGAAAAAAUUAGAGUGUUUAAAGCAGGCAAUUGCUGUGAAUACAAUAGCAUGGAAUAAUAAGAUAGGACUUUGGUGCUAUUUUGUUGGUUUGCACACCAAGGUAAUGAUUAACAGGGACAGUUGGGGGUAUUCGUAUUUAAUUGUCAGAGGUGAAAUUCUUGGAUUUAUGAAAGACGAACUACUGCGAAAGCAUUUACCAAGGAUGUUU